AGUGAACGCUGGCGGUAGGCCUAACACAUGCAAGUCGAACGGCAGCACAGUAAGAGCUUGCUCUUACGGGUGGCGAGUGGCGGACGGGUGAGGAAUACAUCGGAAUCUACUUUUUCGUGGGGGAUAACGUAGGGAAACUUACGCUAAUACCGCAUACGACCUACGGGUGAAAGCAGGGGAUCUUCGGACCUUGCGCGAUUGAAUGAGCCGAUGUCGGAUUAGCUAGUUGGCGGGGUAAAGGCCCACCAAGGCGACGAUCCGUAGCUGGUCUGAGAGGAUGACCACCCACACUGGAACGGAGACACGCCCCAGCCCCCGCGGGGAGGAACAGGGGGGGAUUAUUGGAAAAGGGGCGCAAGCCGGACCCAGCCAUCCCGCGUGGGGAAAGAAGGCCUUCGGGUGUAACAGCCUUUUUGUGGGAAAAAAAAAGCAGGGGGUAAAUCCCCCCCUUUUCGGAGGUGACCAAAAAAAAAGCCCCCGCCUAACUUGGUC
rnacentral:rRNA from 1 species